rnacentral:rRNA from 1 species
AGAGCGAACGCUGGCGGCAGGCCUAACACAUGCAAGUCGAACGGACCCUUCGGGGUUAGUGGCGGACGGGUGAGUAACACGUGGGAACGUGCCUUUUGGUUCGGAAUAGCUCCUGGAAACGGGUGGUAAUGCCGAAUGUGCCCUUCGGGGGAAAGAUUUAUCGCCAUUAGAGCGGCCCGCGUCUGAUUAGCUAGUUGGUAAGGUAAUGGCUUACCAAGGCGACGAUCAGUAGCUGGUCUGAGAGGAUGACCAGCCACACUGGAACUGAGACACGGUCCAGACUCCUACGGGAGCAGCAGUGGGGAAUAUUGGACAAUGGGACAAAGCCUGAUCCAGCCAUGCCGCGUGUGUGAAGAAGGUCUUCGGAUUGUAAAGCACUUUAAGUUGGGAGGAAGGGUUGUAACCUAAUACGUUGACAACUUUGACGUUACCGACAGAAUAAGCACCGGCUAACUUCGUGCCAGCAGCCGA